rnacentral:rRNA from 1 species
CUGGGCGUAAAGCGUGCGCAGGUGGUUUUGUAAGUCAGAUGUGAAAUCCCCGGGCUCAACCUGGGAACUGCGUUUGAAACUACAAGACUAGAGUGUGGCAGAGGGGGGUGGAAUUCCGCGUGUAGCAGUGAAAUGCGUAGAGAUGUGGAGGAACACCGAUGGCGAAGGCAGCCCCCUGGGUCAACACUGACGCUCAGGCACGAAAGCAUGGGGAGCAAACAGGAUUAGAUACCCUGGUAGUCCAUGCCCUAAACGAUGUCAACUAGUUGUCGGGCCUUUACGGGCUUGGUAACGUAGCUAACGCGUGAAGUUGACCGCCUGGGGAGUACGAUCGCAAGAUUAAAACUCAAAUGAAUUGACGGGGACCCGCACAAGCGGUGGAUUAUGUGGAUUAAUUCGAUGCAACGCGAAAAACCUUACCUACCCUUGACAUGUAUCGAAG